rnacentral:rRNA from 1 species
GACGAACGCUGGCGGCGUGCUUAACACAUGCAAGUCGAACGCUGAAGCACCAGCUUGCUGGUGUGGAUGAGUGGCGAACGGGUGAGUAAUACGUGAGUAACCUGCCCUUGACUCUGGGAUAAGCCCGGGAAACUGGGUCUAAUACUGGAUGCUACAUGUCACCGCAUGGUGGUGUGUGGAAAGGGUUUACUGGUCUUGGAUGGGCUCACGGCCUAUCAGCUUGUUGGUGAGGUAAUGGCUCACCAAGGCGACGACGGGUAGCCGGCCUGAGAGGGUGACCGGCCACACUGGGACUGAGGCACGGCCCAGACUCCUACGGGAGGCAGCAGUGGGGAAUAUUGCACAAUGGGCGAAAGCCUGAUGUAGCGACGCCGCGUGAGGGAUGACGGCCUUCGGGUUGUAAACCUCUUUCAGCAGGGAAGAAGCCACAAGUGACGGUACCUGCAGAAGAAGCGCCGGCUAACUACGUGCCAGCAGCCGCAGUAA